CAGAAAUAUGGAGAUCACUUUCCAUCAGUUACUUCUUGGAAGAAAGGAGCAACUGAAACAGAAGUCUUCCUCUUUCAGGGAUUCGCUGUUGAUGCUUGCAGUUGCUCGUAGACGUCGUGCAGUUGGUGCUUGCCUUUCUUUUUUCAGUUUUAGAUUAUUAUAGUCUUUUCCAUGUCUUUUAGUUUAUGUGUAAGUGGAAACUCUAUGUUCCCCACCUUUAUUUCUGAAGUUCUUAUUUAUCCUCAAAAAAUAUUGAUUAAGGAAUGUAAGUUCAAAAACUGAGGUGGUGGUUUUUUUUUUCGGCCUUCGAAGGUUAUGAAAGUAAAUCCAAGCAUGCUAAAAAGGAUUGAAUAAUGUUUACAAAUUGGAUUAAGCUAAACAUUUAUCAAGCGAUUGUAUUAAUGUUCUUUUUUCCUCAAUGAAGAGAAAUUAAUUCAGUUAUUAAGACAGAACCCAUUUGCAAGGAGAAAUGUUGAAUAAAAUAAGAAAAGAAAUAUAGAGAAUUGAAGAAGGAAAUCAAUCAAAUAAAUAAUUCGGUUACUGGUAAAGAGAAGUACAUUACCUUUAAUCUACUUCUACUGCUCAAAAGAAAAUUACAAGUAAUAAAAGACUUCGUACAUGAACUAAAAAGGAAGUGUUGUAAAGGCCAAAUGACUAUGGGAUACAACUACUCUCAUGCUAAAGGGGGAAAAAAACCAGAAAGUAAGAACUAAGAGAUAUGAAACAUGUUGGGUUUGAUGAUUUGUCGAGGCUUUUUCUCUUCAAUUUUUCUAUUAUUUAUAGAUUUCCCAGUAACUUUAAGUCCUCUAUUACUGUUGAAGGGCUGGAACUAUCUCCCACGUCCUCCUUCUUGCUUGUUUAAUUUUGACAUGUGCCUCCCUCCUUUAUUUGAAUUUUAAAUUGCUUGAUAACCGUUGAGAUACUAAUCAUCAUUGCCACCUCAUCUUCCUACCUGAAUUCGAAUGCUGAGUUGUUUCCUUUAUACUUCUUCCAUGUGUAUUCAAGAUGCACCCAUGUAUUUUGUAUAAUGGGUUGCCUUGUUGUGCCCUUCUUUUAUUGGUUGGUUUAAUUUUGGUGCCAACAGAUGGCAAAUUUACUGUAUUGUUAAGCUCUCUCUGAAUUAACUUACCAUGUGUUUGAAUCUUGGAAGUUGUAAAUGCAGAACUAUAAAUCCAGAUGUCAAUUACUACUAGCAAUACUUUGUCUUACCAUUUGUGGCUUGCAGAUGGUUUAAGUAUUCGAGAUUUAUCUUCGAGUAGUGGGUUCAGUAUGAUCUUACUGGAUUUCUUAUUAUCAGAAAAUAAGUAUUCAAGAUUUAUCUUGGAGUGUGUCUUCCAAGUUUGGGUUUAGGGAAAGUUCCAAGGCUGGCGCUGGAUUGAUAUUGUGGGAGCAUAAGCUUCAGACAUCUCACUUUCCAGAGAUGGUUUUUGGGGACAGUUUUUUGGUUCUUGAACAUGUCAAC